rnacentral:rRNA from 1 species
GGACUACAAGGGUUUCUAAUCCUGUUUGCUACCCACGCUUUCGUGCCUCAGCGUCAGUCAUGGUCCAGAUAGCCGUCUACACCGCAGGUGUUCCUCCUGAUAUCUACGCAUUUCACCGCUACACCAGGAAUUCCACUAUCCUCUCCCACACUCUAGCUAGCCAGUUUUCGGCGCACCCUCCCAGUUAAGCCGGGAGAUUUCACACCAAACUUAGCCAACCGCCUACGCACUCUUUACGCCCAGUAAUUCCGAACAACGCUUGCUGCCUACGUAUUACCGCGGCGGCUGGCAC